GUUCUUCUUCUUAGGAAUGAUUACUUGCUCUCUGUAAACACCCGCCUUGAUGUGGAUGAUGCAUCGCCCUGGGUUUUUCUCAGGACAAGCAUUAACGGCUGCUUGAACCGUCUUAAAUUGUCCGCUUCCGUCCUUAGCCACCACAAAGGUCGCUCUGAUGCUACCACUACCGCCGCCACUACGGCCACGUCCAGCCCUAGCCAUGAGCUUCCUGUCAGCACCUGAAACCCAUGUUGGGAUUUUGGUCUGGUCCAUGUCUUCAAGAAGACGACGAGCAGGACCAUCUGGGUCGGCAACGGGAGAUUCAUCAACAACAGGAGGGGCUCCUUUGUUUACAGGAGUUUCGCCUGUUGUGUUCUUGAAUUCGUCAACCUUGUUGUUAAGCUUGGCCAUAGCGCUAACGACAGUGUGGAAGAUGUCAAUAGCGUUUCUAGUGAGAAUCUUGGAGUCUACAAUGCCAUCUUCAAUCGUCUUUCGUAAAUCUUUUUCUUCAAUAUCGUCAAGACAAUCAGUUUGGUAAUUGUAAACACCUGUUAUCCAUUGUUUAAGCUGGUCGAAUUUGCUUCCGAUCUGGUUAAGAUCUUCACCCAUUUCCUCAAUAAUGGUGGCGAGAUCCUCAAGCGCGUACAUGAAAACUCGCUUGCAGUAAUCAAGAACGGCUUUGUUGUUUGGUGAGAUGCUCGAGCCCAUGUUUCCUUCGGUUUUACCCGUGAAGUUAGAUGAUUUGGUUAUUGCGUCUUUUGUAGCGAGCAGGAAUGCCUUUAUCAGUUUGUUUGGGUCUUCACUCUUGACCGGCUCGAGAGUUUUGACACAUGAGGCUUUGUCGGAAGUCGACUGGCAAAUUCCUUGAACCGCUUUCAUCUGCGGAGACAGAUUAGUAUCACCAUUUUUGUUCAUGAAGGCAACGACUCCUAUGACUACUCCGACUAUUAAGAGGAUGGAGGCUACCGAAACAACAACUUUUCCGAUCAUUUUUUAGAUUUUUUUUUUUCUCCCUCCGGUUUUAUUUAAUGGUUAAUCGGAGAGGGAUGGGCUUUAUUAGAUAAAAGCCAAGUUCUUGAAUGACUUUGGCCAGUAGAUACUGCGAUGGAUUCUCGAGGUUUAUAUAGAAGCAUUUUAGUUUCUAAAAUUAGGAACGUGCAUGGAUUUUGCAUGGUGAGGGAUCGAUGUGAGGUUGACGAUUGGCUGAAAAUAUUGGGUCAAAAAGGCUUUAAAUAACGGAUGACAAAGGAUUUUGAUAAAUUUGCAGUUCCAAAUCUUAAUAAGCGUAACUUCAUCCAUUCAAUCUAUUGUCUACAAUUUUGGGAUUAACUUCCUAAAUAGUCAUUAGUAUAAACUAAGUCAAAUGGUAUGAUUUAAAAUCUGUUUAAUUUUUACAACCGUUUUCUUAUAUAAACUUUUAAUUAAUUUUUUUUGUUAGGAAUUCAGAUAAUAGAUCUAAAUAAAAAUGGGAAAACAAAUUAUAUUUUUGUAAAUUUUUAGUUAUCAAUUGUUUCUAUUCAGUAACAAGAUCUUCAAUCCAAUUAAUUUUCCCUAUCGGUUGGUAAAUUUAUUAUUAAAGUUUUCUCUAUUUAAAAUAUGGAAACUAAAUAAAUCAACUUGAAAACAAACAAAAAUGAACGAAAAGUUGUUAAAAAAAUUAUAUCAAUAUUUUAGGAUUACAUGCAUAAAUAGAGGAGAAAAACACAAUGAGAUGCAAAUAUUUGACCUUUAUUGUUUCAAAAAAAAUAUAUUUGACCUUUGUAGGUAGGUCGGUUAAAUAAGAUUUUUGCGAGGGUUUAUGAUGUGAAUAUUAGUUUGUGGAUACAAUUCGCAGUUUACAACUUGAGAAAUCUCCUUCUCCUGUUCCGACAAUAGUAUCUAAAGAGAAUCAAUCAAGAUGUACGAUGUAGUACUUGUUCAUAUGAAGCAUCAUUAUUUUAUAAAGAUGUCUUUUUACGUUGUUUUUGUGGAACUCCUAAUCAACGUUAUUUGGAAAAUAGAUAGGACAAUCAACUAGCCGUUGGGAAAGAAGAUUAGUAUCUCUGAAAAUAUGUAGAUACAUAGCAUUGAGUUAAAAAGAAAAACCAAAUUCUUUUGAAAAGUUUCCUUUUUUAUAUCUUUGGGGUAAAAAAAAAAUAGAGGAAUUGACUACAGCUAAGUGAUGUCUUCUAGGAAAUAAUGAGUCAUAUUUUUGCUGUGUGAUUUCAGCAGAGUUAAAUUUUGGUGCGAAAGAGCUUAUUUCACUUCAUAAUGUACAUUGUGAAAAUAGGACUCUCAUUUAGUUGUCAAUUCAAUUUCAUGAGUGAUUUGUCAUGUUGUUUGCAGAGAAAUGCCAAACCCAAUCUUCAUAUGAUAAAUUUAACCAAGUCAAAACAUUAGAGUUAGUUGGAAAUCAAGUCAAGCACCUUUCUUCAUAUAAUUUUUGUUGUUGUGAGUUUCAGAUAAAGCAAGUCAUAAGUCGAAAUUUUCGUUCUAGGAGACGAUUAUUGUGCCAUGCAUAUUGUUUGUAAUUGCAUGUCCCAAAAAUUCUAUAAAUUUGAGAAUUGACGGCAGCAAAAAUUAGAUAAAACCAUAUAUAUAUAUAUAUAUAUUUAAAAAUAUUAUUAAACAUAGAUACAACACAGCGGACAAGUUUUCAUCUUCCGAAAACAUAGAAAUAAAAAUAAAAACCAAACAACACAAAUGUUAAAUUUUGUUUCUUCUCGUCUUUCAUACGUGAGACAAACAAAAAGCAAAUCUUUCACAACUUCAUCUCUCCGCGCAUAUAGAAAACGACGUUGUACUUUCACCUUUUACAUGAGCACGUACUAGUUAUUCUUUUACUUGAUUUGAUUUAUACGCUUUAUAAUCCAAGUGUGACAGGAACAUUGGCCUCUUGAAUCCAGUUAAUCGGGCCUAACCAGUUAGCAACAGUGUAGUCAUUGACCUCAGCUGCAGACUUGGCGAUCUUAGCCCAGUUAACUCUUCUGUUAGUGAUAGCUCCUGGUCCACGGUUGUUGAACUCAACGUACCUACAUGACUUGUGGAAACUUUCCCCAUCCCAGAUCUUCCAACCUUCUGGUCUAAUCAAAUCACCCAUCUCGGUGUUCAUAAUCACGGUGGUCGAGAAUUUCUUCCACGGCCUUCCCAAGUAUGACGGCACGGUUAAUCUCUCGGCCGCUAGUUUCUUGUCCGGAACAAUGCGGCAGUUUUGGAGGACGAUACCGAUUUUCAUUGCUAAACCCUUUUCGUUUCCAUCAGCUGUGACCGUGUUGAAUUGUCCCUUGUUUCCUUUACGGACAACAAUAAGUGAGUUCUGUAUCACGGUUGCGGAUUUACCGAAGAUGAAGUCGACUGUUCCUGAGACAACAAUGUUUCUGUAGAACUGACGACCGUUGUUCACGUACAAGGUGUCUUGGUAACCGUCGAACCUACAGUUGAAGAUCACAGCACGGUCUCCGUUUACUCUGAUAGCCACGGCUUGGUGUCCCAUUGGACCAGCGGUGUUCUUGAAACCGAUCCAUUUUGCCAUGAAUCCUUCUGAUUCAACCUCUGCAAGAUAGUAUACAUAUAACAUGAGUCAUUAGUUAUAUAUAUAUAUAUAUAUAUACAAUAUAACCUAAUUGUUUGUAUUAGUGGACUAGUGAAUUAGGGUAUUGUGAGACUUACGAACUGUGCCACUGAGGGAUGUGGUGGUUCCUGGGGUGAGUUUAACACUUCUGUUGUAAGUAAUGACGGUCUUUCUUGCACCAUCUCCGAACAUGAAGAUGUUGUUCUUCUUUUUAGGGAUGAUUACUUGCUCUUUGUAGAUACCAGCCUUAAUGUGGAUGAUGCAUCGGCCUGGGUUCUUGUCAGGGCAAGCAUUAACGGCUUGUUGAACCGUCUUAAACUGUCCACUUCCGUCCUUAGCCACCACAAAGGUUUCUCUGAUCCUAGCAGCGCCAUCGUUACCGCCGCGUCCAGCCUUAGCCAUGAGCUUCCUGUCACCACCUGAAACCCAUGUUGGGGUUCCAGUCUCGUCCAUAUCUUCAAGAAGACGACGAGCAGGACCAUCAGGGUCGGCCACGGG
rnacentral:lncRNA from 1 species